rnacentral:rRNA from 1 species
UACGUAGGGGGCGAGCGUUGUCCGGAUUUACUGGGCGUAAAGGGUGUGUAGGCGGCAAUGCAUGUCUGAAGUGAAAGGCAAAGGCUCAACCUUUGUUAGCUUCGGAAACUGCAUAGCUUGAGUACAGGAGAGGUAAGUGGAAUUCCUAGUGUAGCGGUGAAAUGCGCAGAUAUUAGGAGGAACACCGGUGGCGAAGGCGACUUACUGGACUGUAACUGACGCUGAGACACGAAAGUGUGGGGAGCAAACAGG